GACGAACGCUGGCGGCGUGCUUAACACAUGCAAGUCGAACGGUGAAGCGCCUUCCUUUUUGGUGGGUGUGGAUGAGUGGCGAACGGGUGAGUAACACGUGAGUAACCUGCCCCCUUCUUCUGGAUAACCGCAUGAAAGUGUGGCUAAUACGGGAUAUUCUGGGUCUGUCGCAUGAUGGGUCUGGGAAAGAUAUUGUUUCGGUGGGGGAUGGGCUCGCGGCCUAUCAGCUUGUUGGUGGGGUGAUGGCCUACCAAGGCGGUGACGGGUAGCCGGCCUGAGAGGGUGGACGGUCACACUGGGACGGAGACACGGCCCAGACUCCUACGGGAGGCAGCAGUGGGGAAUAUUGCACAAUGGGCGCAAGCCUGAUGCAGCGACGCCGCGGGAGGGAUGGAGGCCUUCGGGUUGUGAACCUCUUUCGCCAGUGAAGCAGGCCUGCCUCGUUUGUGGGUGGGUUGACGGUAGCUGGAUAAGAAGCGCCGGCUAACUACGUG
rnacentral:rRNA from 1 species